GCUGGACAGUAACUGGAGGAGGGUGGCUAACUGGGAUGGUGAAAGGAUCUCAGUUUCGUGCUAUAGGAAUACUGGUUCAGCCCAGAGCGAGGGAAAAAGACUGAGGAGAGGGCCAUGAAAGAAGUCUUCCAGCAUUUAAAAGGCUAUCAUAUGGAGAAAAUGACCAGCAAUUAGACUUUUAAGAAA